AAAUAAUAACCGCCAGACGUCCAAACUGUCAAAACAAAACAAACGUUUAUUGCAAAUAUUUUGCAAAUCUUGAAAAUUUAGUGGUUUAUUUAAUAAUAAAUAUCUAUUUUUUACUCAUUGGAAGCUGAAUUUAAUUUAUGAGAAGUGUGGAUUAUAAUGGGACUGGAAAAUCCUCUCGUUGAGAGAUAAUUAUAUGCUGUAAGACUAUAUAACAAAAAUUUGCAAAUUUUGAGAUCCAGCGCCAUCGGGCCUGUUGCCAACAACAUGACUCGCACAAAAUGCAAAACUAUAAUGAAUUAACGUUGGAUCAAUCAUUAUUCCUCGCUCCGCUCUGUCCAGAAGAUCACUGAGAUAACACAAAUGUCGGAAACAUCCACGAACACCGUAUCUAGACGUAAAGAAAAAAUUACAAGUCUCAAACAAAAAAAAAUAACAGCAAAAUUACGAAUGACGCAUAAUUUAUGGAAGGAUUACCAGUAAUUCGGCCUCGGUCUUUUCACUGGCGACCGAUGGAGAGGGACUUGUGGGUCUUUGGGCGGAUUUCACGUAAUUAGCAGCAUCCUGAGCAGCACUCAUUGAA